rnacentral:rRNA from 1 species
UACGUAGGGUGCAAGCGUUAAUCGGAAUUACUGGGCGUAAAGCGUGCGCAGGCGGCUUUGCAAGACAGAUGUGAAAUCCCCGGGCUUAACCUGGGAACUGCAUUUGUGACUGCAUGGCUGGAGUGCGGCAGAGGGGGAUGGAAUUCCGCGUGUAGCAGUGAAAUGCGUAGAUAUGCGGAGGAACACCGAUGGCGAAGGCAAUCCCCUGGGCCUGUACUGACGCUCAUGCACGAAAACGUGGGGAGCAAACAGG